AGUAAUUAUUUUAUAGUAUUAAUAAAUGAAGGGUGGAAUAACAUGUGUACAUAUUGCCCGUCGCUCUCGUUAUUUUUGAGAUAAGUCGUAACAUAGUUGAUGAACUGGAAAGUGUAUCUUUUU
rnacentral:rRNA from 1 species